AGCAGCCGCGGUAAUUCCAGCUCCAAUAGCGUAUAUUAAAGUUGUUGCAGUUAAAAAGCUCGUAGUUGAAUUUCGGGAUCAGUACGUCGGUCGUGCCUUCGGUACGUACUGGUGUUACUGGUUUCUACCUUCUGAAGAACCGUCAUGUCAUUAAUUUGGUGUGGCGGGGAAUCAGGACUGUUACUUUGAAAAAAUUAGAGUGUUUAAAGCAGGCUCGCGCUUGAAUACAUUAGCAUGGAAUAAUGAAAUAGGACGUUCGAUCCUAUUUUGUUGGUUUCUAGGAUUGACGUAAUGAUUAAUAGGGAUAGUUGGGGGCAUUAGUAUUCAAUUGUCAGAGGUGAAAUUCUUGGAUUUAUUGAAGACUAACUACUGCGAAAGCAUUUUGCCAAGGAUGUUUUCAUUAAUCAAGAACGAAAGUUAGGGGAUCGAAGACGAUCAGAUACCGUCGUAGUCUUAACCAUAAACUAUGCCGACUAGGGAUCGGAUGAUGUUAAUUUUUUUAAUGUACUCAUUUCGGCGC
rnacentral:rRNA from 1 species